CCAAGUUAGGGGUACAUAUCUUGCCUAUGGCAUUUCCCUGGACCUAAGCAGUGACCUGAAAGGGUAGCGUCGAUACUUGGACCAGUUGCGCUGGCUUCCCUGAUCAGGAUUGCGCAACUGGU
ncrna:unclassified sequences Flavobacterium-1 RNA